UACUAGAGUAGCACUUGCAUAUCAAUAAGCGGAGGAAAAGAAACUAACAAGGAUUCCCCUAGUAACGGCGAGUGAAGCGGGAAGAGCUCAAAUUUGAAAUCUUAAAGGGUUUCCCUUUACGAAUUGUAGUUUAAAGAAGUGUUUUCUGUUGAGGUUUUGGUAAAAGUUCUUUGGAAUAGGACAUCAUAGAGGGUGAGAAUCCCGUAUUUGACCUUUACUUUCAACUUUGUGAUACACUUUCAAAGAGUCGGAUUGUUUGGGAAUGCAGUCCAAAAUGGGUGGUAAAUUUCAUCUAAAGCCUAAAUAUUGGCGAGAGACCGAUAGCGAACAAGUACCGUGAGGGAAAGAUGAAAAGAACUUUGAAAAGAGAGUUAAACAGUACGUGAAAUUGUCAAAAGGGAAGCGUUUGACACCAGUGUUGUUUUUCUGAAAAUCAAUUAAAGAACUGUUUAUGCUAAGCUGUUUAGACUUAUAUCAGCUAUCUGUUUAGUUUUGAGCUUUUCUUUAAUGCACUUUUCAGUUAACAAGUCAACAUCAAUUUCUUUUGCUGUAAAAAAGCUUGAGGAAGGUGGCUUGAGAUUCGUCUUAAGUGUUUAUAGCCUCUUGCCUAUGCAGUCGGAGAGAUUGAGGUCUGCAGCGUAGAUCCUUCGGGGCUAAAUGCAUUUGUGCUAAGUUAUAGCAUUUUAUAGACAACUUGUUGACUAUGAUUUGUCUUGUAGCUUACUCGCUUAUGUUAAUUUACCUACGCUUAGGAUGUUGAGUAGCGACAUACGCAC
rnacentral:rRNA from 1 species